rnacentral:rRNA from 1 species
AGUGAACGCUGGCGGCAGGCCUAACACAUGCAAGUCGAGCGGCAGCGGGUCCUUCGGGAUGCCGGCGAGCGGCGGACGGGUGAGGAAUGCAUCGGAAUCUGCCCUGUCGUGGGGGACAACCUAGGGAAACUUAGGCUAAUACCGCAUACGACCCACGGGUGAAAGCGGGGGAUCGCAAGACCUCGCGCGAUAGGAUGAGCCGAUGUCCGAUUAGCUAGUUGGCGGGGUAAAGGCCCACCAAGGCGACGAUCGGUAGCUGGUCUGAGAGGAUGAUCAGCCACACUGGGACUGAGACACGGCCCAGACUCCUACGGGAGGCAGCAGUGGGGAAUAUUGGACAAUGGGCGCAAGCCUGAUCCAGCCAUGCCGCGUGGGUGAAGAAGGCCUUCGGGUUGUAAAGCCCUUUUGUCCGGGAAGAAAUCGUCUGGGCUAAUACCCCGGGCGGAUGACGGUACCGGAAGAAUAAGCACCGGCUAACUUCGUG